rnacentral:rRNA from 1 species
UACGUAGGGUGCAAGCGUUAAUCGGAAUUACUGGGCGUAAAGCGUGCGCAGGCGGUGAUGUAAGACAGGUGUGAAAUCCCCGGGCUUAACCUGGGAACUGCAUUUGUGACUGCAUCGCUGGAGUGCGGCAGAGGGGGAUGGAAUUCCGCGUGUAGCAGUGAAAUGCGUAGAGAUCAGGAGGAAUACCGAUGGCGAAGGCAGGUCUCUGGGCUGAUACUGACGCUCAUGCACGAAAGCGUGGGGAGCAAACGAGG